GAUGAACGCUGGCGGCGUGCCUAAUACAUGCAAGUAGAACGCUGAAGGAAGGAGCUUGCUCUUUCCGGAUGAGUUGCGAACGGGUGAGUAACGCGUAGGUAACCUGCCUGGUAGCGGGGGAUAACUAUUGGAAACGAUAGCUAAUACCGCAUAACAGUAGAUGUUGCAUGAUAUCUACUUAAAAGGUGCAAUUGCACCACUACCAGAUGGACCUGCGUUGUAUUAGCUAGUUGGUGAGGUAACGGCUCACCAAGGCGACGAUACAUAGCCGACCUGAGAGGGUGAGCGGCCACACUGGGACGGAGACACGGCCCAGACUGCUACGGGAGGCAGCAGGAGGGAAUCUUCGGCAAUGGACGGAAGUCUGAACGAGCAACGCCGCGGGAGGGAAGAAGGUUUUCGGAUCGUAAAGCUCUGUUGUAAGAGAAGAACGAGUGUGAGAGUGGAAAGUUCACACUGUGACGGUAGCUUACCAGAAAGGGACGGCUAACUACGUG
rnacentral:rRNA from 1 species